AACAUGUUGAUUCUUCCAAUCUGUAGACACACGAUAUAUUUCCAUUUAUUUGUGUCCUCUAAAAUGUCUUAUGUCAUUGUUCUAUGAGUUUUAGAAUAUGUGUCUUUUAUUUUCUCAGUUAAGUUUAUUCUAUCUCACUAUUGAAUUGUGACGCUUUAGAGAAUGAAGAGGUACAGGCAAAAUGAAACUGUCCUUUUUCCCUUGGGUUGCUUCUUUCACUGGAUGGCUACAUCUUUUUAAUUGGACUCAUGAGUUCUUUACGGGUUAUUUUAAUGCAUGGAUGGAUUCCAAACUUCUGCUCUUUGUGGUAGAAAAGAAGGCCAAGAUCUCUUACUCUACCAUUUGGCUAAUAUCACCUGGAAAUAACUCUUGUAUCAGCAUCCAUGAUUGGCUAAUGAUAUUAGCUGCUCUAGAGAUGUUCUUAGAAAUAUUUUGAGAGCAAUCAGAAUUCAACCUACUUGUUAGGAAAUUUUACUCUGAAGAUCUUACAAAAAGGUUUCUUUUCAGAGUGAUGCAAAUAAGCAUCAAGUAACCUGUGAUUCUCAUGGUGGGGUGCUCUCAUGGAGUAGCCUGAAGCAACAUCUUCCUUAACCUCCACCUCCAAGGUUCCUAUCAUAGGUAUGUGGUUGCCAGGGCUUAGGAAGCAGCCCUGAUUCUGUGAGGUUUCUUUAGAGCCUAGACAUAGCCUCAAGUUGUCCUAGGGUUUUUAGGAACUUCCAGGUUCCUACUUUCUAUGCUAAAUCUUAAUGACUAAUAAUUGGCCUUUCAAUUGAAUCCUUUACCUAGAUCCUCAAAUUUAAGUCUUUAAAAACAGAUUUUAAAGAACCCAGUUGGUGGUUAUCCAUUUAGUACUGAACUCAGUUUUGAUUUUGAUAAUGUUAUUAUUUGCUAAUUGUAAUUAUGUGGCUUGUAUCCAUUAAACUUAGUUCCUUGACUUCCUAGUAAAGAAGGUAAAUUCAGUUCAAAAGGAUUCCUCCCACAGCUCUUCCAUUGUAGUGUUCAAGAAUGCACCAGAGAGCUCCAAGUCAAGGGACAGAGUCAUUCCAUAUGGCUUCUUCUGAACACUUUCAUCAGUGUUAUAACUGUGAUAAGAAAGACAUUUACAAAGAAUUCAGCAAAAGAAGACCGAAAUUUUCCUUAACUAUCCAAAACUGCUUUUAACUCCAACCAACAAUGGUAGAAAUGAAACUUUAAUUUCAUUUGAUAACUUUUAAUUGUGUUAUAUCCUCAGGGAUAUUUUUAUCAAAUAAAAUUAAGUCUAUAAUAUGAAACAAAAAAUUGCUUGAAUUUUCAAAUAUAACUUUCUGGUGUUAAUGAUAGUAUUUGGAUGAAUCAAUUUUCUGUAUUCCAGUUGUUGAACAGUUAUCCAGAAAAAAAGUAUUGAUUUUUGUCCCAGGUAUAUGAAAUGUUUUACAUGUAGGCUCUCAGGAACAAGUCAACAAAGUCCCCAAAUCUAUCGAAUUUGCUCUUCCUUUUCUUGCACACUCUUUCUUUAUACUAUAGCUAUCAGUACUGCCCAAGCUAGACCAUGUUUCUGACUUGUUUUUAAUCUUUUAAUUUCUACUGCUAUAAAAAGUCACCUGUUGGAAGAAAUAACAGAAAAUAAACUAGCUUAGAUUGAGAGUGUCCUGAAAUUGGUACAGUGGAUUCAUAAUGUCAUUAAACACUAUAGUCUUUGAACUCAAAGAUUUUGCAAUGUUUGGGUGAGGUAAAAUACAUUCAUGAAAAGUUUCCCAACAAAGCACAAUACAGAGUAUUAUUGACUAAAUGAACAGAUUGUUAGAUUGGCUCAGCAGGUAAAUUGGCAUCUAAUUGGAUAAGCCUUAGACUACAAACCAAAUCUUUAUUCUUUCAGUGGUUAGGAACUACUCAAAGUUUUUGAUCAGAGGAGUUAUGUGAGGAAGCUGUUUUCUUCAGAAAAUGAUGAAGUGAUACUCCUAAGAAAGUAUACUGUCAUCAUGUAGCAAAGUUUGCUCUAAACCCUGGACCUUCCUAAGAGGACUAGUGAGAGCCCUUCUCUUCAUCAGAACUCAAAAGCUCCAAGCACAUCCUGUAUACAAGAGCUCUAGUUUGGAGACAAGAGGCCUUUCAAUCAAGAGCUGUGUUCCUUGGAAGAUGCCUCUCUGGUGAAAUUCUGUUCAAUCAUCUUCCAGGCAGAGACAGCCAUUGACCCUCUCUUGAAGAAAACAUUACUUCAUCACUCCCUGUUCAAGUCGAACAGAACCUAUAUGGUCAUGCCUGGAGAUCUUUAAACAUCACCAUAGGAGAUGAGGUUUAAAGUUGAAAUGUUUUUUUUUUAAUCAUAAAAUCCAUGCUCUCUUCCUCAAGAAAAAUCAACAUCUUCAGACAUUAUUUAAAAUGUGGGGUCAGUGGGGGUAGCUAUUGAAGUGUCCUAAGGCUUGGUUAAUUUUUUGCCAGAGUUUCACAUGGACAUUCAAGACACAUUAACUAAAUUGUCAAUUGACUAAAUUGUUAUUGACUAAAUGAGCGGAACUAACCAUUACCCCCAGAGUUCCCUGGGACUAAACCACCAAUCAAAGAAAACACAUGGUGGGACUCAUGGCUCCAGCUGUAUAUGUAGCACAGGAUGGCCUAGUCGGUCAUCAAUGGGAGGAGAGGCUCUUGGUCCUGUGAAGGUUCUAUGCCCCUUGUUUAGGGGAAUGCCAGAGCCAGGAAGCAGGAGUGUGUGGGUUGGGGAGCAGGGGGAGGGAUACAGGGUUUUCAGAGAGGAAACUGGGAAGGGGCAUAACAUUUGAAAUGUAAAUAAAGAAAAUAUCU
rnacentral:lncRNA from 1 species